rnacentral:lncRNA from 1 species
UGACAAAUUACUUGGGAGAAUGAGAGAACUAAAAGGAUUGGAUUGCAAAAAAGAGCCUACAAAACUGGACUGGUCAGAUCCUUAGCUUAUGUAAUUGCCCUUUCUGAACGAGCUUCCUCAGAGCCAAGUUGACUCACAAGGCUGCCUUGUCUGAGAGCCAAGAUCCAGGUGAAUUCUUGGGAGCGAGCUGUGUGCUAGAGCUUAGGGCAGCGUUAUGUGCCAAACAGGACGAAUGGAGCUCCAGCUACUUCUUCCCCAC